GGGACUCCCAAUCACGGCCGGAUGUGAUACAGCCUGGAUUCGAACUAGGUACUAGUGACGCCUCUUGCACUGAUGCCCGGUAUGUGAUUGCGGCAAGUGUCCACACUGCUAAAAGAGGUUCAUCGAGCUGCGACAGUUCACUCAGCAGCUGAGUAAUAUUCACCCCAACGUUCUGGCCAAGCACCUUCAAAGAGGUCUGAUUCUCCCACAUCCAGAGUUCGCUGUCAUCAAUAAGCCAUAUGGAGCCUCUGUUCAAGGUAUUGGGUGUUGAGGCAAUGUAUUUACAUGCCUAUUACAUUAUGGUACAUAAGGCUUAUAUGGUCAAACACACAGUCAAGGAUUAUAUCAUGAAAGAGAUUGUUCAUUUGAAUGUCACUUGUAAAAAAUACAUCUUAAUACCCAGAGGUGUUUUCAAAAAUCACUGUGAUUUAAAUCCAAUAWUCUUCCCCCUAAAUGGGUCAAAGGAAUAUCAUGGACAUCUUCCAGUCCUUGCCAAGGUGAUGGCUGGCAUUGAGGGCUGAGCCCCACUCCCAGCUGAAAGUCCGCCUUGGAUUGGACAAGGAGACAACAGGGGCCCUCUUGCUGGCAAGGACUGAUGAAGCACCGGACUAUGUACAAAACCUCCACAAAAAAACACCAAGUGGAGAGGAAAUAUUGGUGUAUGGAUGUCUGUGUGUUUAGAGAUUUAGUUUAAGAUAAGGAUCCAGGCAGCACAUCAUAUGGCAGAGUUUUUGUAAUGACCCUGCCGUUGACAACUAGCUCCCUAGUUUUCUUGGAGCAGCGGUGAUGUGUCUGGCCCUGGACGCAAGGGUUAUUGGGCUCGAUUCACACCUCAAAUCAAACUUUAUUGGUUGCAUACACAUAGCAGAUGUUAUUGCGGGUGUAGUGAAAUGCUCGUGUUCAGAGCUCCGACAGUGCAGUAGUAUCUAACAAGCAGUGACGUAGCCUCUGAACCUCAUGCUACUUCCUGGUUACAUUACACUUUCAGUCAUCUUCCCUUUUCCCUAUUCCCCCAUGCAGCAUUGCUGCUAUGGCCUGUUCCCUGAGGGGAUGACUUGACAACCCUCAUAGAGAGAGAAUUCAACUGGGCUCAGGCUCAUUUCAAGAUAGGCCUGAGUCCUGUGUACAGAGGGAGGGAGUGACUAACGUGCAGGCCCAGGGGGCAGUGACCCAGUACGCGUCCUGGACAGCAGCAAUGGCUGCAGCCUUGUGGAGCUCCAGCCCAUCACAGGGGUGAGGAUCCAUAUGGCAUACGUUCUGGGAUGUCAUAUUCUUGGGGACCACAAAUACUCCCACUGGACAACAACUUCCACCUUAGAAACUGCUGGACGGUUUGUUACCGAGGCUGGGAUUGGAACAAAGCAAGGCACGUUGCCUUCUUCCCUAACCCUGCACACACAUCAGCUGACACUGCCAGUGAUAUCACUGUGUCCUGCCCUGCUGAAGUACUUCACCACCAGCACCCUGCGAUGACUGCAGAUCCCCAUUCCAAAUAAGAGGAUGAAUGAUGCAUCAGCGGCUCCUCUGCAGAGCAGACAGGAUACAGAAGAAAUACGGAGGGGCAUCACUUCAAGUGACCCUUGACCUAAUGGUUGUCCCAAGUCCAAGAGCUAAGGCCUGACUGAAAUUCUUAAAAAGCCACACACUCGCUCAUUCACAGUACAAAGGCACGUUUGAAAAAAAACAGACUUUCUUAUUUAGCCUCCAACACCACUAGAAUAUCAAUACAUACAGGAGAUCAUAAAUGGCAAUAAAAAUACAUGUAAAAAAAAAAA